UUUGAUCGCUUGAUGGAUCAAGUAACUGGAGUAUUCAAUGUGCUACUAACAAGAGCAAGCUAUUAUUCCUCGCAAUUAUAUAAUUGAUCAAACAAAUGUUCACAAAAAUGCACAAAGCAUAAGCUCAAGCCAUUCGCUGACUAUCAAAAGCUAACUAUGUUCUUCCUAAAAGCAUGGAUAUGCCGAAUUCAGAUGAGUAUUUUGAUUAGGUUAAGUUUGUAGAACUGAACUGAGAUGAGUCUCAGAUGUAUUUAGAUCAGACGAAGCAGGAUCUCACAUCUAUAUCAAACAGUAGUUCAUCGCAAUUACAGUGCAGUGAUUCCUUUCAUUCACUUGCUGGUUCUCCUUUGCAAAACCAAGAAAGUUUUACAGGUUUUUGUCAACAUACUGUUAUUUUUCUACCAUGGGGUAUGUUUUUAAUACUUUUAAUGAUUGUAACACUUGAGUUAAUCACGGACAAGGCAUUCAUUCUCAGAUCUAUCCAUCCAACUACUGGAUGUGGAUGCCCAGUCAAGUUAGUUGGAUCUAUCUGUUUUAUACACACUAAAUUGUAUUGUUAUCCAUCUUGUUUAUUUGUUUUGAGGCAACAAUGCUGAUUUCUGUAGCUGGUAUACAUGCUCAUAGGUUAACACAAAUGUUCAUGUGGUUGAUCAGCAUCAUGGAAGUAUGAAUUCAUCUUUCGAAGUAUAUCCGGGCAGUCAAAUUCACCCCGUACCCCGAGCACCCUCUCCUUGUGGACGUUAUCCCAUUAACAGAAACGAAGCGAAUGAAGCCUUCCCAAUUUCAAUUGCCUUGGGCAUAUGAGUUGCAAAAGUAAGAAGGGAUCCACACUAUGGCUUUCCAAAGCAACAGGGAGCAAUCCAUGUGAGUAACUCUGAAAAGCAAAAUUGCCUACGCAAGCUCCGUGUCUUUGAGCCUACAACACCACACCACACUACACCGGCACUUUAUUUAUUUAUUGUCCACGGUAUUCUCUAGUUCAACAGGUUAAGAACUAAUUCGUUACAAAUAUAAAUUUCAUUUAAAUGUCUGUUGCUAGCCAAUGGGUUACUGUAUGCGCAAUGUAAAAUUUAAAUUUUUGACACUUGUUUAAACGGACAAAUGAGCGGCCAAUCUAAAUUGUUACCGACACUUUAUUUAUUUAGUGAAUUAGGCCUAACUCUAUAUGAGUUUCUAAAAGCCCAAGUCUACCAAAAUCCAUAAUUAUUCAUCGAAGAAUUCUAGCACCUCAUCCAAUUCAUGUACGUACGUGGGUGUGAUUUGAUUAGAGAACAACGAUAUAUUCAACCACCUUUGCAUUUCCUUUAUGAUAAAGGUGGAUAGAUUCUCUUUUUUGGCUUUUUAUGUUAUGAUUGAAUUGUAUUGUUUUUAAUUCUGUAAUUUUUAUUAUGAAUGUUAAAGAACUAAAUUAAAAUAGAUCUAUUGAUUUUUU